rnacentral:rRNA from 1 species
AACGAACGCUGGCGGCAUGCCUAACACAUGCAAGUCGAACGAGACCUUCGGGUCUAGUGGCGCACGGGUGCGUAACGCGUGGGAAUCUGCCCUUGGGUUCGGAAUAACCUCGCCGAAAGGCGUGCUAAUACCGGAUGAUGUCGUAGGACCAAAGAUUUAUCGCCCAGGGAUGAGCCCGCGUAAGAUUAGGUAGUUGGUGAGGUAACGGCCCACCAAGCCGACGAUGGGUAGCCGAGCUGAGAGGCUGAUCGGCCACACUGGGACUGAGACACGGCCCAG